rnacentral:rRNA from 1 species
AUUGAACGCUGGCGGCAUGCUUUACACAUGCAAGUCGAACGGUAACAGGCCGCAAGGUGCUGACGAGUGGCGAACGGGUGAGUAAUGUAUCGGAACGUGCCCAGUCGUGGGGGAUAACGCAGCGAAAGCUGCGCUAAUACCGCAUACGAUCUAUGGAUGAAAGCGGGGGACCGUAAGGCCUCGCGCGAUUGGAGCGGCCGAUAUCAGAUUAGGUAGUUGGUGAGGUAAAGGCUCACCAAGCCGACGAUCUGUAGCUGGUCUGAGAGGACGACCAGCCACACUGGGACUGAGACACGGCCCAGACUCCUACGGGAGGCAGCAGUGGGGAAUUUUGGACAAUGGCGCAAGCCUGAUCCAGCAAUGCCGCGUGCAGGAUGAAGGCCUUC